UGUGUUUGUGUGAUCUGACAGAGGAAAGCUGUAGAGUUCUGUCCUCAGUUCUCAGAUCAAACUCCUCCAGACUGAGAGAACUGAACCUGAGUGACAAUAACCUGCAGGAUUCAGGAGUGAAGCUGCUCUCUGCUGGACUGGAGAAUCCACACUGUACACUGGAGACACUGAGGCUGUGUGUGUGUGUGAUCUGACAGAGGAAAGCUGUAGAGUUCUGUCCUCAGUUCUCAGAUCAAACUCCUCCAGACUGAGAGAACUGAACCUGAGUGUCAAUAACCUGCAGGAUUCAGGAGUGAAGCUGCUCUCUGCUGGACUGGAGAAUCCACACUGUACACUGGAGAUACUGAGUAUGUGUAACUGCAGGAUUACAGAUGAAGGUUGUGCUGCUCUGGCUUCUGCUCUGAGGUCAAACUCCUCAUCACACCUGAGAGAACUGGAUCUGAACUAUAAUAAUCCAGGAGAAUCAGGAGUGAAGCUGCUCUCUGAUCUACUGAAGGAUCCACACUGUAACCUGGAGACACUACACAUUAACUAUAAUACACUCACCAGGACAGGCGUAUGACGGGAGUCUCACCUCAAAACCUCUUCUCCAGGAUAAAGCAGUCUUGGUGAAGUUAGAACCCGUCCCACAUUUCCAGCAGUUUGGGAGCUGAAUCAUUAAACUUAAAGGGGCAGAGCAGAAACAGUCAAGAACAGGCAUAAGAUCGUACACAGGAGAAAUCAACACACGUAACCAAAUAUCUGCUGUACAAAGCAACGGCACCGAUCUGCCCCAGGGAUGGAGACUGACGAGGCUUAAGUACACGUCCGGAAAUGUACAGCCAACUCAUCCCAAAGCACGAGGCAGGAGCAGGCGUGUACGAGAUGUGAUCGUCCAAUGGCAAGCAGGAACAUGACGCAUUGCAGUGGACUGGGCUUAAAAGAGGAGGAGACAAGACACCCAUCCCUCCCCCGACAUAGACACACGAAUGGAACAUAGUACAAACAGAAAUACAACUGAGGACGUAACAAUGGCCAAGUAUCAAAUAAAAUGUAAACGUGCAUUGAUGAAGGUAAUGUUGUUAGUAAUUGUUUAUAAAUUACCAUGGUAACACACAGCUCCAAGGUAUAAAAAUAUGGAGUUUGUCAUCAAUCAAACAGUAACCAGUUUUAAUACCUAAAACAGUUUACGUAGCAAAAUUUACCAAAGCGCUUUACAGUAAAUUAAAAUGUAAAAUUAAACUAAUGAAAUGUUGUGCAGCACAUGCUUAUGUUAAUGUUUGUUUCAUUAUAUAAUCAUAUAAAUAAAUACUCCCAAAGUCACCAGAAUUGAAAGCUUUUUGCUGUUAAACAUUUAGAGAUUGAGGUUGUGGUGACUCAGUAGUUCACUCAGUAUAUCUGGGUAAGACACAGUGAACGACUCACUGCUGGCAUUCAUGAAGAAGUCAUAAACUCCACUGGAAUAAUAAAUAGGAUCUAAUAAAACCAUGAGUGGAAAUUA